rnacentral:lncRNA from 1 species
AAGACCUGCACACUGAGACCUAAACUCGCUAGCUUCCCUCGUUGCGGUAUGGGGGCGGCUUUUCUUGACGGGAUCAGUUCGAUGAGACGACGACAUGGAAUGAUUUUGACACUUGAUGUGCAUGCCCUUGCGACGCUAGACACCUCGAGUAAGCUUUCGAAAUAUCUACAAGAAGUCUCGAGCUCUUACAUGUUAAGACAAGGUCUUACAUCUGCGCGGAACUAUAGUCGUCAAGCCGAUGCCGAGAACAGAAACGAGGUCAGCGACAUCGAAGAACAAUUCUGCUUGCAUUCUGGCCGGUUUCAUUCCCAUAUUCCUGUUACUUUUCCAACUAAGUAACUGCGCUUCUCGCGAGUGCUAAAACAUAUCCGAAUCGCUGACGAUCAUCUUCCGUGGGGUAUCAGUCUUUGUUCAUAUUUUGUAUCAUUAAGACGAGUAACGUUAAUCCAUACAUUUCUGUUGUCCUCGAGGCGGACAUCUGGAAAUUCACUGCAGAACUCGAAUACACGUAAGUGAACAAGGUACCGGAACCAAAGUCGUAUCUCGUUGCUAUUUUCUUUAACGCCGUUCACAAACCGACAAUAUACUAAUAGUGUAGAAUCAUCUUGCAUGAAUAUCGCGUUCAUUACGUCGGACCCUGGAAGACUGAUAAGCAUUUUCGUUCGACUCAUCAGUUCUACUUGAUUUCCAACUGAGUAGUCUUCCAGGCAGGCAAUAAGGACGUCGAGUUCUUUAAAAGUUCGGGCUGCGGCCAGUUUCAGCUCAUUAAUGUUAUCGAUGUUUGUAAGAUGGUCCCCAGACCUUUUCUCCAUGAUGACAAGUUUGUCCGGAUUUUCUUUUUCUUUUGACGGAUACUUCAUGUAAAAUUUAUUUCUGAAGGCUUUCGCGUCAGCUGAAAACACUGGAGACGAAAGAUAUGCAAGGUCCUCAUCAACGUAAGAGAAUCCGCUCAUUCCGAAAUACACGUGAUCAUAGCAUAUAAUUCUGGACUCAACUUCAGUUUUCAAGUUGAGAUCGAAAACCUCCCCAUUCUUGACUAAUGCAUCAAAAUAAUCAUCGCAUCGUGGUCUACUCGGACGAUCGACGUACAAGUCACUCUCAUGACCGAGUCGAUCAGAAUUCGGCGCAUAUUUCUGCAUCAUUCGAAAUGCAGGCCAAACUUCGUCUCCUAGGAUGUGUCCGCAGUUAUUGUCAACGUACCGCUCUAUGAGAAAAGCUUUGCUUCUGCGUCUUGACGUGGUCAGAAUAGAUAUGUCCAGAGCCCUGACAUUCAAAGCUACACUGCCGUUUCUUCGUAGUCUCACACUGAGCAGCGCUCUUUCGACAAUAGGCACCGAUGCACUGCCAAUAACGAACAGAGUUCUGUUGUUUGCAACACACGCCUCGCUGAUAUCGCAAGAGUUCGAAUCGCACGUCAUUAUCGUCGAAUGAAGCAUGGGAAGUAUUUCCCUGCCAAAGGACUGUGUAAGGCGUGGUAUGGAUAACAGGGAGACAAAUAAAAAGCAAGUUGCAAGUUUUAGCAGUUGAAACCGUGAUC